UAAGUGCUGAAAGCAUCUAAGCACGAAACUUGCCCCGAGAUGAGUUCUCCCUGAGACUUAGAGUCUCCUGAAGGAACGUUGAAGACGACGACGUUGAUAGGCCGGGUGUGUAAGCGCAGCGAUGCGUUGAGCUAACCGGUACUAAUGAACCGUGAGGCUUAACCUUAC
rnacentral:rRNA from 1 species